GCUGGGGUGGCGGAGUGGUUAACGCGCUAGCCUGCUAAGCUAGUUUCCGAAAGGAUGCGUGGGUUCGAAUCCCACCCCCAGCG
rnacentral:tRNA from 1 species